AAAUUCUAAUUAAAAUUUAAUAAAAUCUUAAUUAAACCUUAGUCAAAUCUUGAUCAAAUCCUUAUCAAACUCUAAUCAACUCCUAAAUGAACUCUAACCAAAUCUUAUCAAAUCCUAAUCAAAUCCUAAUCAAAUCUUAAUCAAAUUCUAAAUGAGCCCUAAUCAAAUCCUAUCAAAUCCUAGUCAAAUCCUAGUCAAAUUUUAAUCAAAGCCUAAAUAAAUCCUAAUCAAAUACUAAUAAAUCCUAAUUAAAUCCUAUAAAAAUUCUAAAUAAGCCCUAAUCAAACUCUAAUCCAGAUCAAAUCUUAAUCCUAACUCAAUCCUAAUCAAAUCCUAAAUAAGCUCUUAUCAAAUCUUAGACAAAUCCUACUUAAAUCAUAAUCAAAUCUUAAUCAAAUCCUAAAUAAAUCUUAGUCAAAUCUUGAUAAAUCCUAGUCAAAUCCUAAAAAAAUCCUAAAUAAGUCCUUAUCAAAUCCUAAUCUUAACCAAAAUCUAAAACCUAAUCAAAUCUUAAAACCUAAUCAAGCCCUAAUCAAAUCUCAAAUAAGCUCUAAUCAAAUUUUAGUCAAAUCUUAGUCAAACCUUAAUCAAAUCCUAAUCAAAUUCUAAAAAAAUUCUAAUCAAAUUCUAAUCAAAUUCUAAUCAAAUUCUAAUCAAAUUCUAAAUAAAUCCUAAUAAAUCUUAAUCAAAUCCUAGACAAACCCUAAAUAAGUCCUAAUCAAAUCCUAACCCUAACCAAAAUCUAAAACCUAAUCAAAUCUUAAUUCUAAUAAAGUCCUAAUCAAAUUCUAAAUAAGCCUUAAUCAAAUCUUAUUCAAAUCUUAAUCAAAUCCUAAAUAAAUCCUAAUCAAACCUUAAUCAAAUCUUAAAUAAAUCUUAACCAAAUCUUAAUCAAAUCCUAAUCAAACCUUAAACAAAACUUAAUCAAAUUCUAAUCAAAUCCUAACCAAACUCUAAUCAAAUUCUAAAUAAAACCUAAAUAAUCUUAACCAAAUCUUAAUCAUUCUCUAAACAUAUC
rnacentral:lncRNA from 1 species